UACGAAGGGGGCUAGCGUUGCUCGGAAUCACUGGGCGUAAAGCGCACGUAGGCGGAUUGCUAAGUCAGGGGUGAAAUCCUGGAGCUCAACUCCAGAACUGCCUUUGAUACUGGCGAUCUCGAGUCCGGGAGAGGUGAGUGGAACUGCGAGUGUAGAGGUGAAAUUCGUAGAUAUUCGCAAGAACACCAGUGGCGAAGGCGGCUCACUGGCCCGGUACUGACGCUGAGGUGCGAAAGCCAGGGGAGCAAACGGG
rnacentral:rRNA from 1 species